rnacentral:rRNA from 1 species
GUGAGGAAUUUUCCGCAAUGGGCGAAAGCCUGACGGAGCAAUGCCGCGUGCAGGAAGAAGGCCUUCGGGUUGUAAACUGCUUUUGUACGGAACGAAACGGUCCUGGUUAAUACCUGGGGCUAAUGACGGUACCGUAAGAAUAAGCACCGGCUAACUACGUGCCAGCAGCCGCGGUAAUACGUAGGGUGCGAGCGUUAAUCGGAAUUACUGGGCGUAAAGCGUGCGCAGGCGGUGCUGUAAGACAGGCGUGAAAUCCCCGGGCUCAACCUGGGAAUUGCGCUUGGGACUGCAGUGCUGGAGUACGGCAGAGGGGGAUGGAAUUCCGCGUGUAGCAGUGAAAUGCGUAGAUAUGCGGAGGAACACCGAUGGCGAAGGCAGUCCCCUGGGCCUGUACUGACGCUCAUGCACGAAAGCGUGGGGAGCAAACAGGAUUAGAAACCCGAGUAGUCC